CGGUUAUUAGUAUUAUAUCUAUGUCGUAUUUAUCUUUUACUUUAUGUUUCAGAUGCUGUUUAACUAGAAUUGUUGAGCCGUCGUGUGGCUCGUCACUGGAAUUUAUAAGGUUCAGUGUGUGAAAAAAAUUUAGUCAUCUACAUUGAAGAGGAUGAUGGUUCUCUUCGCUCACAGUUCAGGUGGUAACAUAGGCUCGAAACCUUGAUCUUUGAGAGCUGCAGAGCAUUGUGGCUGGAAAAUUUUAUUAACCUCGUCAUCUGAACGAAAAAGCCACACAUCAUGACCACAUGACGAGGCCACACAAACGAAGCAGAGCAAAACAUGCUACCUGAGCUAUCAUCACGUUUCGAGAUGGAAGAGCCACCAGUACCAUCCCCCUACACCAUCUACCAAAAAGAGGUGCAGAUUGUGCUCAUAGAAAACUGCCAGCAAAUGUAGGGCCGAAUGUUCAUAGUGUCUCAAUAAUGUGUGCCAAAUGCAUCACAAAAUCUACUGUUCAGACAACCGGAAAAUACUAAAAUAAAAGUAC